AGCGUUNUCCGGAUUUAUUGGGCGUAAAGCGAGCGCNGGCGGUUAGAUAAGUCUGAAGUUAAAGGCUGUGGCUUAACCAUAGUAUGCUUUGGAAACUGUUUAACUUGAGUGCAGAAGGGGAGAGUGGAAUUCCAUGUGUAGCGGUGAAAUGCGUAGAUAUAUGGAGGAACACCGGUGGCGAAAGCGGCUCUCUGGUCUGUAACUGACGCUGAGGCUCGAAGGCGUGGGGAGCAAACAGGAUUAGAUACCCUGGUAGUCCACGCCGUAAACGAUGAGUGCUAGGUGUUAGGCCCUUUCCGGGGCUUAGUGCCGCAGCUAACGCAUUAAGCACUCCGCCUGGGGAGUACGACCGCAAGGUUGAAACUCAAAGGAAUUGACGGGGGCCCGCACAAGCGGUGGAGCAUGUGGUUUAAUUCGAAGCAACGCGAAGAACCUUACCAGGUCUUGACAUCCCUCUGACCGCUCUAGAGAUAGAGUUUUCCUUCGGGACAGAGGUGACAGGUGGUGCAUGGUUGUCGUCAGCUCGUGUCGUGAGAUGUUGGGUUAANUCCCGCAACGAGCGCAACCCCUAUUGUUAGUUGCCAUCAUUGAGUUGGGCACUCUAGCGAGACUGCCGGUAAUAAACCGGAGGAAGGUGGGGAUGACGUCAAAUCAUCAUGCCCCUUAUGACCUGGGCUACACACGUGCUACAAUGGCUGGUACAACGAGUCGCAAGCCGGUGACGGCAAGCUAAUCUCUGAAAGCCAGUCUCAGUUCGGAUUGUAGGCUGCAACUCGCCUACAUGAAGUCGGAAUCGCUAGUAAUCGCGGAUCAGCACGCCGCGGUGAAUACGUUCCCGGGCCUUGUACACANCGCCCGUCACACCACGAGAGUUUGUAACACCCG
rnacentral:rRNA from 1 species